rnacentral:rRNA from 1 species
GAACCCGGCUCUACACAGUCCGGGAAUGCGGUACCUGAAGAAUAAGCCCGGCUACUACGUGCAGCAGCCGCGGUAAUACGUAGGGUGGAGCGUUAAUCGGAAUUACUGGGCGUAAAGCGUGCGCAGGCGGUUAUACAAGACAGGCGUGAAAUCCCCGGGCUUAACCUGUGAAUGGCGCCUGUGACUGUAUGGCUAGAGUGUGUCAGAGGGGGGUAGAAUUCCACGUGUAGCAGUGAAAUGCGUAGAUAUGUGGAGGAAUACCAAUGGCGAAGGCAGCCCCCUGGGAUAACACUGACGCUCAUGCACGAAAGCGUGGGGAGCAAACAGGAUUAGAUACCCUGUUAGUCCACGCCCUAAACGAUGCUGACUAGUUGUUCGGGAUUUACAUCCUGAGUAACGUAGCUAACGCGUGAAGUCAGCCGCCUGGGGAGUACGGUCGCACGAUUCAAACUCAAAGGAAU